UCCUCCUCCUCUUUAAUUUAGUUAACAUACUGUGUUAUAUUAGUUUCAGGUGUAUCAUAUAGUAAUUCAACAAUUCCAUACAUUACCCUGUGCUCAUUAUGACAAGUGCAGUCCUUAAUCUUCAUCAUCUAUUUAACUCUUCCCCCCACCCCCUUUCCCUGUGGUAACCAUCAGUUUAUUCUUUAUAAUUAAGAGUCUGUUUUUUUUUUU